rfam:Candidatus Parvarchaeum acidophilus ARMAN-5 ARM5contig_1637, whole genome shotgun sequence.
GGGCCUAUGGUCUAGUGGUUAUGACGUCUGCCUUACACGCAGAAGGCCGGGAGUUCGAACCUCCCUGGGCCCA